rnacentral:lncRNA from 1 species
AUGUUUGAAUUUAACUGUAGAAAACAUGUAGAAAAUCACUUGCCUGAAGACACUUCACUGCAAGAUUUCAUGUACUUUAAAAUUUUCUCAUUAACAGGAUCAGCCUCUGACUUCCUUCAAGUCCUGGGGCUGGAUGUUGAAAAGUCAUCUGCCAAAAGUCUCUUAUACCUGAUCUUUCUUUGGGAUAGUCAUUGCUUGUGUGACGGUGAAUCCAGACAAGAACAAGCAUCCUGCCAUGGGAAUAGAGAUGCUUUCAUAUCUGCUACUUCAAGAUCUUUCCAUGGGUUGUGUUUCAUCUUGGGAGAGUUUGUACAAAAGGUGAUUUGUAUAACAUGUGCUGUUCAAAGAAGGCUGUACAUUUAAUCAAGAUCACUGUCAUUUCAACAGCGCCAUUGUAAUGUAAUACACUUUCAAUUUACCAAGUUAUUUCAGUGUCUUAGAAAGUUUUAUCAAUAAACUAUAAAAUUAGAGUUCAAAUAAAGCUUGUGAAGUUCUUUGUAUACUUUGUAUGAUAACCUUUUUAUUAUUUAUAUGACUGAAUACAACACUGUAGUAAUAAUGUGCACAAAACCUGAGUUGAAUAAACACAUUUUAACUGGUAUUAAUAUUCAAUUCACUGAAAUAUAUUUUCCAUUGACGCUCUCAGAACUGAAUCUGAAUAACACAACCUUUUGUGGGAAUUUUGGAAAAGUUUGAAGAGGAGAAAGAAGAUCUCAAUCAUUGACAUGCCCACCUUCUAACCAUAGGUCACAUGAUUAUUUACUUCUUUUAUUUAUUGUCUCAUUAUCACUGCUUAUCAUUGUCUAAAGCAGGAAACUUCCUGCUAGAUGCAAGGGUGCAUUAGUAGAUUUCAGGAACAAAAAAGCUAUAGGCCAGAAUUCUGUACCAAGUUACAAAUUUGUGAGAUAGAAUGAUGCACUCAUGAAUGUUACAUAUUCACUUAUGACUAUUACAUAUUACAUAUUUCCAUGUAGCCUUUACUUGAGGUGCUAUGUAGGAACUGAUCCAAUCUCCACAUACUAGGAAGCAGCCACUGUGAUCAAUAAUGUUCCCUUGUCACUCAGGAAGCAGUUGGUUGUCAUUUCCAUCUUCUCUGAUGUAAGGGCUCUCCAGUGCAAGAUGGAGGUACAAUAGGCACCAUUCCUGUCUUUUGCAAUUAGGAUCACUCAUGAAAAGGGUUGAAAACAGCAGUCCAGCUGCUUCUUUAGCAACAGGGGAACAGAUGCCCAGUGAUUACAGCAGCUGGGGAUUGGUAAAUGAGGAUUGUGAAGGUCAUGCCAGGAUUCAGUGCAUAACACAAUGAAACUUGUGUACACAUGAAGACCAUACAGGAUUCUGAACAUUGUUUUAUUUGAAAUUGCUGCUGUGUUCUGGCAUCAGGGGUGAGGAAAAUACAUUUCUAAGGAGUAGCAAAGUACAGGAGGAGAGCAAUGACCCAUCUCAAUAAAUAGUUAAGA